rnacentral:ncRNA from 2 species
AAGUAUCUUCAGGGCAAGGUGAAAUUCCUGACCGGCGGUAAAGUCCGCGAAUCCUUUUAAAUAGGAUUGAACUUGUGAAAUUCAAGUACCGACAGUAAAGUCUGGAUGAAAGAAGAAAUUG